rnacentral:rRNA from 1 species
AAGGGCACCACAAGAACGCGUGGAGCAUGUGGCUUAAUUUGACUCAACGCGGGAAAUCUUACCGGGUCCGGACACACUGAGGAUUGACAGGCAAUAUUAAUACACCAGCUCUCUUUUGACUGUGUAUUAUGUUAAAUAUGCUAGUCCUUUCAUGAUUAUGUGAUAGGUGGUGCAUGGCCGUUCUUAGUUCGUGGAGUGAUCUGUCUGCUUAAUUGCGUUUCACUAAGGGCCUAUAAAUUUACGUGUGUUGCGGCACUUUGACCCCUCUCUGAGCGCGCGUCUUAGUUUGCUUAGCUCGCACAAUUAGGUCCUGAAAGCAACGAACGUGACCGCAACCUCUUGUUGCCUUUAUUCCAAACAUGUUUGCCAUUUUAAAUGGUAUUCAUGAAAAAAGGCCUUUUAAACUAGAGGGACCGCUGUUACUUUCUUAAACCAGAGGAAGGUUGCGGCAAUAACAGGUCUGUGAUGCCCUUAGAUGUUCCGGGCUGCACACGUGCUACAAUGAUUAUUGCAGUGAGCAUCUCAUUUUUACACACCGCAUGCGCGAGUCCAUUUAUUCACCUUUCUGAGGCGCUUUAAAUGUGUACCUCUGCGCGCGGUAAAGCCUGCUUCGAAAGUAAGUGGGUAAUCAAUUAGAAGUAAUGAUUUCCUUUUUAGCACACAUAUAUACGGCGUUUAUGCCCGGGCCGCCUUGUUGUAGCUUUUGUGCGUAUAGACGUUUUUUCCGUAUGUGCGAUUGUCAAUUCAUGGUGGGGACAGACCAUUGUUAAUUGUUGGUCUCGGUCUUAACUAGGAAUGCCUUGUACGGGUCUUUGGUUCAACAAACCACCCGGAAUACGUCCCUGCCCUUUGUACACACCGCCCGUCGCUCUUACCGAUGGACUUCUCUGUGAGUUUGAGGGACUGGGAACGCAGAUUCUCUGCACACCUAUGGAAACUUAAACGAACAGUGUGGUCUAAAGGAAAGAGAAGUCGUAACAAGGCAUCGGUAGGUGAACCUGCAGAAGGAUCA